rnacentral:rRNA from 1 species
AGUUCGGAUUGAGGCUGAAACCCGCCUCCAUGAAGUUGGAUUCGCUAGUAAUCGCGCAUCAGCCAUGGCGCGGUGAAUACGUUCCCGGGCCUUGUACACACCGCCCGUCAAGCCAUGGGAGCCGGGGUGCCUGAAGUUCGUUACCGCAAGGAUCGACCUAGGGCAAAACUGGUGACUGGGCUAAGUCGUAACAAGGUACC